UUGUUGAAGUGCCAUCCACCGUCCACUUGCUUUUGUCUUGGGGAAAGCGCAUCCACCUCCCACUUGCUUUUCCUUUUCUUUUUCUCACCACUCAAUUAUAUGGUGUUUGACAAAUAUCUGGGGGGCUGGGUCCACCACCAAUAAUGAUUCCUCCAGCCAUUCUGCAGUGUGGUAAUCCAAACCCAGUCUUCUGCAGUUUGGUGGUAUCGCGGUAACAGACACCAAUCCUCUGAAUUCCUAUUGCAAAGCAACAGUCGACACAGAUAUGGCGGACGCCCUCCUCUCAGCUUCGCUUCAAGUUCUAUUCGAAAGGUUGGCUUCUCCAGAGCUCAUAAACUUCAUUCGGCGACGAAACCUUAGCGAUGAACUCCUCAGCGAGUUGAAGAGGAAACUUGUGGUUGUUCUCAAUGUGCUCGAUGAUGCGGAGGUGAAGCAAUUUUCAAACCCAAAUGUCAAAGAGUGGCUCGUCCAUGUCAAGGGUGCUGUGUAUGAUGCGGAAGACCUGUUGGACGAGAUCGCUACCGACGCUUUGCGUUGCAAGAUGGAAGCUGCUGACUCCCAAACCGGCGGAACUCUUAAGGUGUGGAAAUGGAACAAGUUCUCUGCUUGUGUGAAGGCCCCAUUUGCUAUCAAAAGCAUGGAGUCCAGGGUCAGGGGCAUGAUUGAUCUACUGGAAAAAAUCGGAGGAGAAAUUGUUCGGUUGGGGCUAGCAGGAUCACGGUCACCAACACCAAGAUUACCAACGUCCACUUCUUUGGAGGAUGACUCCAUUGUUGUCGGCAGGGAUGAAAUUCAGAAGGAGAUGGUGAAGUGGUUGCUUUCUGACAAUACAACAGGCGGCAAAAUGGGGGUGAUGUCCAUAGUGGGCAUGGGCGGCAGCGGCAAGACCACGCUUGAUCGGCAUCUCUAUAACGAUGAGGAAGUGAAGAAACACUUCGACUUGCAAGUAUGGGUCUGUGUUUCCACUGAGUUUCUCCUUAUCAAGGUCACUAAAACAAUUCUAUACGAAAUCGGUUCUAAAACUGAUGAUUUUGACAGCCUAAAUAAGCUUCAGCUUCAACUCAAAGAGCAACUUAGUAACAAGAAAUUUCUGCUUGUUCUUGAUGACGUCUGGAAUUUGAAUCCUCGUGAUGAAGGUUAUAUGGAGCUUAGUGAUCGUGAAGGUUGGGAACGUCUACGAACUCCACUCCUCGCUGCAGCAGAGGGAAGCAAGAUUGUUGUGACCAGUCGUAAUAAAUCUGUUGCAGAAGCCAUGAAAGCGGCCCCUACUCAUGAUCUUGGGAAAUUAAGCUCUGAAGAUAGUUGGUCCCUGUUUAAAAAGCAUGCAUUUGGAGAUAGAGACCCCAACGCAUUCCUUGAGCUUGAACGCAUAGGCAGACAGAUUGUGGACGAGUGUCAAGGAUUGCCUUUGGCUGUGAAAGCACUCGGCUGUCUCUUGUAUUCUAAGGUCGAAAAAAGGGAAUGGAACGUUGUGUUGGAAAGUGAAAUAUGGCGUCGGCAGAGUGGCUCCAAAAUUCUUCCAUCUUUGAUAUUAAGCUACCAUCAUCUUUCUUUACCUCUGAAGCAUUGUUUUGCUUAUUGUUCUAUUUUUCCCCAGGACCACCAAUUCAAUAAAGAGAAGCUGAUUUUAUUAUGGAUGGCAGAAGGUCUUUUACAUCCUCAACAAAACGAAGGAAGGAGAAUGGAAGAGAUCGGUGAGUCAUAUUUUGAUGAGCUUCUUGCCAAGUCUUUCUUUCAAAAAUCUGUUGGAAGAAAAGGAUCAUGCUUUGUAAUGCAUGAUCUAAUACAUGAAUUGGCUCAACACGUGUCUGGAGAUUUUUGUGCUCGAGUGGAAGAUGAUGAUAAGUUACCAAAAGUAUCUGAGAAGGCUCACCACUUUUUGUACUUUAAAAGUGAUUAUGACCGGUUUGUUGCAUUUAAGAAUUUUGAGGCUAUGACUAAAGCUAAAUCUCUUCGGACAUUCUUAGGAGUGAAGCCAUUGGAAAACAAUCCUUGGUAUGAUUUGAGUAAAAGAGUUUUGCAAGAUAUAUUACCAAAAAUGUGGUGUUUACGUGUGUUAUCAUUAUGUGCAUAUACAAUAACUGAUUUGCCUAAAUCGAUAGGUAAUUUGAAACAUUUGCGUUACUUGGAUUUGUCUUUCACGAUGAUUAAAAAAUUACCUGAAUCAGUAUGUUGUUUAUGCAAUUUACAAACGAUGAUGUUGAGAGGAUGUUUAAAACUUGAUGAAUUGCCUUCAAAGAUGGGAAAAUUGAUUAAUUUGCACUAUCUUGAUAUUGAUGGAUGUGGUUCAUUGAGAGAAAUGUCAAGUCAUGGAAUUGGUCGAUUAAAAAGUUUACAAAGGUUGACUCGAUUUAUUGUGGGCCAAAAAGAUGGAUUAAGAAUUGGAGAAUUGGGGGAGCUGUCAGAGAUUCGAGGAAAACUUUAUAUUUCAAACAUGGAGAAUGUGGUGAGUGUUAACGAUGCAUCAAGGGCUAAUAUGAAGGAUAAAAGUUAUCUUGAUGAGUUAAUCUUUGAUUGGGGUGACGAGUGUACUAAUGGUGUUACACAAAGUGGUGCAACAACGCAUGAUAUACUCAACAAGUUACAACCUCAUCCAAAUUUAAAACAACUCUCCAUCACAAACUAUCCUGGUGAAGGAUUUCCAAAUUGGCUUGGAGAUCCUUCAGUGUUGAAUCUCGUGUCCCUUGAGCUUCGGGGUUGUGGCAAUUGCUCAACAUUGCCACCACUUGGACAGCUAACCCAGCUUAAAUAUCUGCAAAUCUCAAGGAUGAAUGGAGUAGAGUGUGUGGGUGAUGAGUUCUAUGGGAAUGCUUCCUUUCAAUUCCUAGAAACACUAUCAUUUGAGGAUAUGCAGAACUGGGAGAAAUGGUUAUGUUGUGGAGAAUUCCCUCGUCUCCAAAAGCUUUUUAUACGAAAGUGUCCCAAACUCACUGGGAAAUUACCAGAACAGCUUCUUUCAUUGGUGGAACUUCAAAUUCAUGAAUGUCCGCAGCUGCUUAUGGCUUCACUCAAAGUUCCUGCAAUUCGUCAGUUGCAAAUGCCAGGUUGUGACUUCACAGCUCUUCAAACUUCAGAAAUUGAAAUUUUAGAUGCGUCUCAGUGGAGUCAACUUCCAAUGGCACCACACCAGCUGUCAAUUAGAAAAUGUGAUUAUGUGGAGUCUCUGCUAGAGGAGGAAAUCUCGCAAACCAACAUACAUGAUCUGAAAAUCUAUGAUUGUAGUUUUUCUAGAUCCCUGCACAAAGUUGGUUUACCCACUACACUGAAAUCACUAUUAAUCUCUAAGUGCUCGAAAUUAGAGAUUCUCGUACCUGAGUUGUUCAGAUGCCAUCUCCCAGUCCUUGAAAGUCUAGAAAUCAAAGAUGGUGUUAUCGAUGAUUCUCUCUCGUUAUCCUUCUCAUUAGGCAUCUUCCCAAAGUUGACUAAUUUCCGAAUCCAUGGUCUUAAGGGGCUUGAGAAGCUCUCCAUUUUGGUUUCAGAGGGUGAUCCCACAUCUUUAUGUUCCCUGUCUCUAGGUGAUUGCUCUGAUCUUGAAUCUAUCGAAUUGCGCGCUCUCAACUUGGAGUCUUGUUCGAUUUAUAGGUGCUCCAAGCUCAGGUCGUUGGCACACGCACACUCAUCUGUACAGGAGUUGUAUUUAGGGUCUUGUCCAGAAUUGUUGUUUCAGAGAGAGGGUUUGCCUUCCAACCUACGUAAACUUGGAAUUGACAACUGCAACCAACUCACGCCCCAGGUGGAGUGGGGUUUGCAAAGGCUGACCUCUCUUACUCAUUUCAAAAUCAAAGUUGGAUGUGAAGACAUUGAAUUAUUUCCCAAGGAGUGUUUGCUGCCCUCUUCUCUGACUUCUCUUCAAAUUGUAGAGCUUUCGAAUCUCAAGUCUCUUGACAGCAGGGGUCUUCAACAACUCACCUCUCUUCUACAAUUAAAGAUCAGAGACUGCCCAGAGCUCCAGUUCUCGACAGGAUCGGUUCUUCAACACCUUAUCUCUCUAAAACGAUUAGAAAUUGAUGGAUGCUCGAGGCUCCAAUCAUUGACAGAAGUGGGUCUUCAGCACCUCACCUCUCUUGAAAGGUUGUGGAUCGAAAACUGCCCAAUGCUCCAAUCCUUGACAGAAGUGGGUCUUCAACACCUCACCUCUCUUGAAAGUUUGUGGAUCGGUAACUGCCCAAUGCUCCAAUCCUUGACAAAAGUGGGUCUUCAACACCUCACCUCUCUUAAAACAUUAGGGAUCUAUAACUGUCGUAAGCUCAAAUACUUGACAAAAGAAAGACUUCCAGACUCCCUCUCUUAUCUGCACAUCGACAGGUGUCCCUCACUGGAAAAACGGUGUCAAUUUGAGAAAGGGGAAGAAUGGCGUUAUAUAGCUCACAUUCCAAAAAUAGUGAUCAAUUAUGUGCUAUAUUAAUCAAAGUGCCACUCCGCCAAUAUAGAGUCAGCACAGAGAAAAGAUUGAAGCAACAGACUGGGAACUCCAGCAAAGAAAAUCCGUUUCCCCUGGCCCAGACUCUAAUCUUUGGCAGGCUUUCUCUGAGGCAGGUGCCCAGACAACAAUAGCAAGUCUGUUAGGACCCGAAAUGGCCAUCACAACAAACCAGCCGCAGAAGGAACUUCUGGCCCUGAAACUUGGGGUUUUGGAACAGAGAGUUUUACAGCCACCCCUGCUGCCGGCUCUAAUAUUUCCAGACCCUCCAUUGGAGGCAAUAAUGCCCAGCUGUUUGUUGAUUCAGAGAAUAUUAAGGGCAAGCUGGCUACUCAACCUGCUGGAUGGGCUGGUUCCUAACUUAUUUGGUGAGGUUAUAUCAUCCUUGGCACUUCUGGUCACAAGAGAUGAGAAUAGAAUGAAAGAAAACUCAACCCUCUCAUCCGUAAUUCAGAACCAUUUAAAGCCUGGCCAUGGAAUAAGCUCAAGCCUUUCUGUACAGAGUAGCUGGACUCUCUCAAAUUUUUGAUUUGUAAAUAUCCAAAGCUAUGAUUUCAAAGUCAUUAAAUGUGCCAAUCCCCGUCAACCUCAAUCAGUGUGUUAGACUGUUACCAUUGAUCACCUCAGUCCAAAAGACAUUCCAUUCAGGGAAGAGGAAAUAGAAGAAAAUGGCAGCUCUUGAUGUAUUUUGAUUUUGAUCAAGGCUUUCUUGAUGUAUACUCUGAUGUUUUGCUCGAAUUAAUCCUGAUGAUUUUCUUAACUGGAAAGGUGACUUUUCCCAGUGGAGGAAUUGGAGGAAGGGGAGAUUCCUGGGUGCUGAACUAUUGAUGUUCAUUGCUCUGUUCAAGAAGAACCAGAAACAGGAAGGGGAGAUUCCUGAUCAUAUGUCCUCUAAGAUUGAACCCUGGCAUUGAGCUGAUGCUUCAUAAUGUGUUAUUAUAAGAGACAUAGGCUGCCCGAGUUGUCUGAAUAUACCCCAUAGUCCCUCUGAUGCCUGUACACAAGUCCUCGGGCGCCUCCAGAAAGGAAGCUUGAUAAAGAGCCAUUGUGCAUAAAAAAAAAACACCAGUAGUCAGUGUUCACCCUCACAACAGUAACGCAGCAAGUGUCCUUGAUUCUUAUGCAACAGAAUUUCCAGAACCUGAUGGUAAUAUCCCUUUAUAGACAGUGCCAAAGGCUUCUACCAUCGCUUGUACUCAGGAUUCUGUGAUAAAGCUGCAGAUUUUUGAGGUUCAAGCAGUAGAAAACUAGAGAAAUUGCAGCCAGAGAAAUGAAGAAGAAGAACACAGAGGGGCCUAAGAGGACUGAGUAUUAGAAUUGCUUUAUUUUGGUUGCCUCUGCCUGAAGUUAGUUCACUGGACUUCAAUAUCUUGAUUAGAGCACUUCUGGAAACAGCAGUUUGAUCCAACCUCCCAUUUGAAAGAGGUAGUCUUUUCCUCCAACAGCUUCCAGUUCCAUUUGGAAACCUCAGGUCCUCAAAAAUAGCUACUGCACAGUAGGCUCCAACACCAAUCCCUGGGUUGGCAACUCAGGUGCUUGAAGCUCUCCCAUACACUGGUAUGCAAUUUCCAUCUCCAAGCAUGGCACCAUGCACUGGUUCGCUGCUCACAUUACCAGUCUGUCUUCCAUAUAUCUUAGCCUCUGGAGAACAAGCUGUCUAUUGGUGGUAAACCCAACUUUUGAUCCUCUUGGCACCGGUUAACUACCAUUUGCAGUCCAGAUAGCAAGAAGGAAUAGGUCCUCUUCACUUGGAGAGGGUCGGAAUCCAAAUGCAAAAUCACCAGAAAGGCAAAGCCCAUGUGGAGUUUUCAUCAGUGGCAUAAAGAGAUGAACCCAAGCUUAUAUUACUAUAAGCUUGGCUGAUGAGUAACAAGUAGAGGUAGAGAGACAAUGUAAGUUAUUACGUGAAUAAUUGGUCACCCGACUGCUUUUCUCUGCAUGUUGAUUAAGUUGAAAGAGACUAGCGAAUAUUAUUUUCUUCUAUAAUGAACAUUCUCCUGUAAUUGAAUAGUGUGAAAGCAAUUUUUUCUUCUUCUUCAACAAAUGAAUAUUGAGAGCAUAGAAUUACAGUAA